CGGACGGGUGAGUAAUGUAUGGGGAUCUGCCUGAUGGCGGGGGAUAACUACUGGAAACGGUAGCUAAUACCGCAUAAUGUCUACGGACCAAAGCGGGGGACCUCCGGGCCUCGCGCCAUCAGAUGAACCCAUAUGGGAUUAGCUAGUAGGUGAGGUAACGGCUUACCUAGGCGACGAUCCCUAGCUGGUCUGAGGGGAUGAUCAGCCACACUGGGACUGAGACACGGCCCAG
rnacentral:rRNA from 1 species